AAGAAAAAUAAUAAAACAGACAAAAAAACUAUUUUAAAUGAAAAUCGCCUUGCCAAUUUUUAAGAAAACAACUUUUUGGGUUUUUAAUCACUAGUCCGUCGCGUGUACCGAACUGGAAGACUGUGAAAAGGAUGGAGUGUGGUGCUGUGGAGAACUCGAGCUGCAGUAAUCAAACGAAACGACGUUCAUUACUGAUUUUCCGUGUACCUCUACCAAUACUUUCC